UUAGUCGGGGAUUUUACUACAACCAAAUUAUAUAUUUUAUGAUACCAUUACCGGGGUAGGGUAAAUAAAAACUUUUGGGGGAAAUCUCUGGAGGGAAGGGUGUUUUUAGAGUCCAAAUGGGUCAAAAAGGCCAUUCUGGUGGGAAAUUUGAACUAUGAGUAUUUUUUAGGUCGGUAAUUCCACCAUUUUCGAAAACGGAUGCUCAGCAUGUAUGCUACGCGUAGUUACAAUGUAUGGAUAUACUAUAUCGAAUGGGGUUGGGCAAAUCUCAAUUUUUUUCAUAAAUAGCUGUUUUCUGGCAGAAAUUAAUGCUUUUAAGACACACUGUUAAAACACAUGUGACAACUCUUUUUUACCCACAACAACCAUAUAUAGGUUGGUAAAAUGGCAAUUUUCGAAAUGGCAGACAAAAUCCCAAAAUAACUUUUUUGUCAGUGAUAAUUAAAGGACCCAUAAUUUGUAUUUCGCUUUUCUUAUGUUUUGAGGGUUGUAAAUUAUAUUUUGUUUUAUUAAAAUAGAUUAUCCGGAGACUGUGACAUAAUGGAACUUGACCUAUUUUCCUUUUUGGCAGAAUUAAUGGUUUAAGCUUUCAUAAAGACAAUUUUAAAGUUACCUGCACAGCACUUGAAUGUUUUGUGUUAUAUUUUGGUGUAAUGUACAGUGCACUAUGCUAUAAGCUUGCAGCUUAAAGUUGACAACAGUGUCAGAAGAACAGCGCUGAAACAAGGCACUUCCACAGUUGUUGCAACAAAUAUUGGUAAUUAUACAAAUAAAUGCCACAAGGACAUAACUUAUCCUGGAAAACAAGUCUCGCCUCUGCAGCAUAAAUUGAUUGAUUUAGGAGGUUAACCAUGGCGAGAUGGUUCCUAAAUCAGACUGGACAACACGAUUUAUAGCUUAUAUUGGCCCUUUGAACUUGUUUUAACAUUAAAGUGUGAAUGGAUCAAAAUGUAAUUUGUAUGCAUUAUUAACCAUCAUAAUAAAGCUUUGUGAUUUCAUAUGUAAAUGGCACUGUAGGCCCGUGGUUUUGGUCCACGUGUUUUCAGUUCUAGAUAAUAAAAUAUCUCUAAGACCGCAUUUACAUUGAGUUGAGCCAUGGAUCUACAAAGUCACGAAAUAAAUAUGGCGGACGUACAUGAAAGGAAAACCACCUUAUCUUUUAAUAGUCUCCCCGCCUCUCACAUGCCUCCCC